UACGGGGGGGGCAAGCGUUGUUCGGAAUUACUGGGCGUAAAGGGCUCGUAGGCGGCCAACUAAGUCGGAUGUGAAAUCCCCAGGCUCAACCUGGGAACUGCAUCCGAUACUGGAUGGCUUGAAUCCGGGAGAGGGAUGCAGAAUUCCAGGUGUAGCGGUGAAAUGCGUAGAUAUCAGGAGGAACACCGGUGGCGAAGGCGGUUCUCUGGGCAUGAUCUGACGCUGAGGAGCGAAAGCGUGGGAGCAAACAGG
rnacentral:rRNA from 1 species